GGUUGCGGACAGUGUCUGGUGGGUAGUUUGACUGGGGCGGUCUCCUCCUAAAGAGUAACGGAGGAGCACGAAGGUUGGCUAAUCCUGGUCGGACAUCAGGAGGUUAGUGCAAUGGCAUAAGCCAGCUUGACUGCGAGCGUGACGGCGCGAGCAGGUGCGAAAGCAGGUCAUAGUGAUCCGGUGGUUCUGAAUGGAAGGGCCAUCGCUCAACGGAUAAAAGGUACUCCGGGGAUAACAGGCUGAUACCGCCCAAGAGUUCAUAUCGACGGCGGUGUUUGGCACCUCGAUGUCGGCUCAUCACAUCCUGGGGCUGAAGUAGGUCCCAAGGGUAUGGCUGUUCGCCAUUUAAAGUGGUACGCGAGCUGGGUUUAGAACGUCGUGAGACAGUUCGGUCCCUAUCUGCCGUGGGCGCUGGAGAACUGAGGGGGGCUGCUCCUAGUACGAGAGGACCGGAGUGGACGCAUCACUGGUGUUCGGGUUGUCAUGCCAAUGGCACUGCCCGGUAGCUAAAUGCGGAAGAGAUAAGUGCUGAAAGCAUCUAAGCACGAAACUUGCCCCGAGAUGAGUUC
rnacentral:rRNA from 1 species